rnacentral:lncRNA from 1 species
GACAACCGCCGCGAUGUCCCAAUAAGCACUCAUUACCCCGAAUGUCGAUCGAAACCCCGCAAGGCUUAGCAUCAACUUCCGCAUCUCCCCGGUGAGCGACAGUUAUUAAAUCUCGCAUUUCAAGAAAUCAUAAGUUGUUUCCAACUCAAAACAAUAAAAAUAUUAUUUUCUAGCUCACUGGGGCAUUUUCAUCAUUUUUUUUUUUGAAAUUUUGAAAUCCGUAAAAAUGUAAUAUGUAAGUGGAAACACGUAUUUCAUGAUUUAAAUUAAAUUUUGAAGUCUAAAACAUUCGUUUAAAGUAAAAUUAUAGCUAUUUGAAUAUAAUAAAAACAUUAAAUAAAA